UUUACACCAGUUGUUGCAAAGAGAAGGCCCAGCAUAAUUGGCCUUUCCCGAAUUGUGGAAGGGAGAUGUGGACUCUGAACAAAAUGUGGACUGAGCCAGCACGAACAUAGGAGAGAAUAGCUCUUGGGACUCUACUAACAGUAUCUGCUAGGAUUUGGAUUCCUUAUAUGAGUCAUUUAAUAAAACUAUUUUGCUACUAAAAAAUAAAAAUGUUCAGAAGAAAACUUCUGGGUGUUUGAGAACUCUUCUAGGGCCAGGCCUUGGGGACUGUUUUUGCUGCCAGCCAGUUUUGCAGGGAGGGAGGCGAGAGCCCACGCCUACGCUAAACCCAGAGCUAAGCCUGCCCUUCAGCACACUUCCUCCCCUCUGCGACACUGGCUGACCUCUGCAUGAAGAUCGACCACUUAGAAGGUGCUUUCCCGUGUUGACCUUGUUCAUCCUCAAGCUGUGAUGCUGGCUAGGGACUCCAAAAUCUAGUCGGCCUUCUGACCAUCCUCCAACAUCUGGGGGUGUCUUGAACAGAAGAGUCAUUGGAUCCACUGAAUCAGAACCUCAGGAGCUGAACUGCCAGCACUGCCUGUGCCCGGGGCUUCUGAAUCCUCCCACACAACCCAACAACCUGCCCAUUCAUCCUGCAACCCGCAAGAACAGCCGGAAACCACCAGGCUUCCACCAAACUGAUACGUGAUAGAUUUUGUCCACAGGAACAAAAUGAGCAAUGUUUUAUGAGCACUAUCUCCAUCUGACCACUUCUGUUCUUCUGAGACCUCUAGGCUAACGCACCUUCUCUUCCUCGGGUCUGCAUACAAAAAUCCCUACACAUCUCCACUCAUUGCUCCAUUCCCUAAAAACCUGACGUGUGGUUCAGUUGCUGACAAAUCCUGGAUGAACACAGGGUACCCACUUCUUUGCCACUUCAGCAAAACACAUUAAAGGGAGUCAUUUCGUCUAUAAAAGGGUGAAGGACUCUCAUGAUUGCAAAUCUACCAUUCAUUCACUGAAGAGCAGGUGGGAACAGCGUUUAAAAAGAAACAGAGGUUUGGAAUAGUGAAUAAAAAAAGAAUUAUGGUUUAUCUGUCCA
rnacentral:lncRNA from 12 species